rnacentral:SRP_RNA from 1 species
GCUGGCAUGGUGGUGCAUGCCUGUAGUCCCAGCUACUCAGGAGGCUGAGGUAGGAGGAUCACUUGAGCCCAGGAGGUCAGGGCUGCAGUGAGCUAUGAUGGCACCACUGCACUCUAGCCUGGGCAACAGAGUGAAACCGUGUCUCAA